rnacentral:rRNA from 1 species
UACGUAGGGUGCGAGCGUUAAUCGGAAUUACUGGGCGUAAAGCGUGCGCAGGCGGUGAUGUAAGUCAGGUGUGAAAUCCCCGGGCUUAACCUGGGAAUGGCAUUUGGGACUGCAAGGCUGGAGUACGGUAGAGGAAGGUGGAAUUCCCGGUGUAGCAGUGAAAUGCGUAGAGAUCGGGAGGAACACCAGUGGCGAAGGCGGCCUUCUGGACCAGUACUGACGCUCAUGCACGAAAGCGUGGGGAGCAAACAGG